GAUGAACGCUGGCGGCGUGCCUAAUACAUGCCAGUCGAGCGAACAGACGAGGAGCUUGCUCCUCUGACGUUAGCGGCGGGCGGGUGAGUAACACGUGGAUAACCUACCUAUAAGACUGGGAUAACUUCGGGAAACCGGAGCUAAUACCGGAUAAUAUAUUGAACCGCAUGGUUCAAUAGUGAAAGACGGUUUUGCUGUCACUUAUAGAUGGAUCCGCGCCGCAUUAGCUAGUUGGUAAGGUAACGGCUUACCAAGGCGACGAUGCGUAGCCGACCUGAGAGGGUGAUCGGCCACACUGGAACUGAGACACGGUCCAGACUCCUACGGGAGGCAGCAGUAGGGAAUCUUCCGCAAUGGGCGAAAGCCUGACGGAGCAACGCCGCGUGAGUGAUGAAGGUCUUCGGAUCGUAAAACUCUGUUAUUAGGGAAGAACAAAUGUGUAAGUAACUAUGCACGUCUUGACGGUACCUAAUCAGAAAGCCACGGCUAACUACGUG
rnacentral:rRNA from 1 species